ensembl:lncRNA
GGGGUGCUUGCGGUCUGUGUUGAGUGUCAACACGGUGGCCAGCUGGAGAGGUGAGGCGAGAGCCGUGCGUUGAGGCUGAGCAGGCGGGCUCUGGAGGACCGGAGAGUAGCUCCACCGGAGGCUAGGCAGUGGAGCUCAGGUGGGGCAGAGGAAGGCUGCAGGCAGCCCGGACUGGGACUGUGUGAGACCGGGGGAGGCAGCCCGGACGGGGACUGUGUGUGGACGGUGUAGGGUGAGGACUGUCUGGAGGUUCAGGCACGAGGAAAGCUGUAGGCCGCCUGGCUCGGACUGUUUGUGUGAACGGUGUAGGUUGAGGACUGUGUGUGUGAACGGUGUAGGUUGAGGACUGUGUGUGUGAACGGUGUGGGUUGAGGACUGUGUGUGUGAACGGUGUAGGUUGAGGACUGUGUGUGUGAACGGUGUAGGUUGAUGACAGUGUGUGUGAACGGUGUAGGUUGAGGACUGUGUGUGUGGACCUGCAGGUGGAGGACUGUGUGUGUGGACCUACAGGAUGAGGGCUGUGUGUGUGGACGGUGUAGGUCCGGGUUAUGAAUGCUGGAGUUGAAGGCCAGAGCAGAGCUCCACACUAAGGCUGCCACAGAGGUAGAGAGACGCUGUGGACGGUGCAGGGAGAGAGGGGAGGGAGAGGCGGCAGAGGAGGAAGAGGAGGGAGAGAGGAAGAGGAGGGAGAGAGGGAGAGGAGGCAGAGGGAAAGAGGAAGAGGAGGGAGAGGAGGGAGAAAGGAAGAGGAAGGAGAGAGGAAGAGGAGGGAGAGGAGGGAGAGGAGGCAGAAGAGGGAGAGAGGAAAAGGAGGGAGAGAGGAAGAGGAGGGAGAGGCGGCAGAGGAGGGAGAGGAGGCAGAGGGAGAGAGGAAGAGGAGGCAGAGGGAGAGAGGAAGAGGAGGGAGAGGAGGGAGAGAGGAAUAGGAGGGAGAGAGG